UCUUUGGUUUGUAACUGACGUUGAGGUUCGAAAGCGUGGGGAGCGAACAGGAUUAGAUACCCGGGUAGUCCACGCCGUAAACGAGGAGUGCUAAGUGUUGGAGGGUUUCCGCCCUUCAGUGUUGCAGCAAACGCAUUAAGCAUUCCGCCUGGGGAGUACGACCGCAAGGUUGAAAUUCAAAGGAAUUGACGGGGGCCCGCACAAGCGGUGGAGCAUGUGGUUUAAUUGGAAGCAACGGGAAGAACCUUACCAGGUCUUGACAUCCUUUGACCACUCUAGAGAUAGAGCUUCCCCUUCGGGGGCAAAGUGACAGGUGGUGCAUGGUUGUCGUCAGCUCGUGUCGUGAGAUGUUGGGUUAAGUCCCGCAACGAGCGCAACCCUUAUUGUUAGUUGCCAUCAUUUAGUUGGGCACUCUAGCGAGACUGCCGGUGACAAACCGGAGGAAGGUGGGGAUGACGUCAAAUCAUCAUGCCCCUUAUGACCUGGGCUACACACGUGCUACAAUGGGAAGUACAACGAGUUGGGAAGUCGCGAGGUUAAGCUAAUUUCUUAAAGCUUCUCUCAGUUCGGAUUGUAGGCUGCAACUCGCCUACAUGAAGCCGGAAUCGUUAGUAAUCGCGGAUCAGCACGCCGCGGUGAAUACGUUCCCGGGCCUUGUACACACCGCCCGUCACACCACGAGAGUUUGUAACACCCGAAGUCGGUGAGGUAACCUU
rnacentral:rRNA from 1 species